AGAUUAGAUUUUGCUCUUCUAAUCCAACAGAUUAUCACUGCACACAACACUACUGACCAGUAGGGCUUUACAUUUCAACACAAUUCUCACGCAUUGAUCAUUUUCUACGUUCUUCACUGCAAAACAUUUCAACGAGGACCCUUUUACAAAAUCUGCAGGAAAUGGACUGACCACGGAUGGGAUUUAUGUCAUGUGGCGAUGCGUUUCCAUGAUAAUUCUAUUAGAGUCCAUGUGGAUGUCAGGCUUUAGAAAAUACUACACGCUGUCACUAAUGGAUAUAGGUGCUCAUCGGUUUGUCAGUUGAGCAGCAGCGACAUCAGUUUCUAUAAACCUGGUGUGUGGUGUGUGCUGGGAAGACAUUCAGCACUUUUAAGAAGAGAUAAAUGGUAUCCUUAGCACCGUGUGGGGACAUGGAACCAGAAGCUGAAGAAGCAGAGGAGACAUUGUUGGAGUCUGAGAUGUUUGUAAACACAAUUAGUGACAAACAGGAGGUGAAGAGUGAAGAAGCUAUUUUGCAGCCUUGGCAGGUGUUUCAAGAACCAAGCAUGGAGUUACAGAGAACGAAUAUCACAGGAAAGGAGAAUGGGAAGAAAACGGUAGGAGUCAAAGAGGAUGACGAAGGAAGUGAGGCAAAAAAUGAAACGGAUAAUAAAGUGGCAGAAGCGAUGAUGUGUGCUGAAAACUUAAGCAACAUGCCAACAGAUGCUAAUGACUCAAGCAGCGACCCAACCAAUGAGCCCAUCUCCUCAAAUUCUCACACCAGCCCACCUGAGACCAAUGAAUCAGACACAGGGGACAGCAGAAAACUGACAAAGAACCCCAGCUUUGGGAAAACAGUUCGUUUUAAGGAAAUUGAAGCAGUGGAAGAAAGGGACAGCUCAGUGGACACCCUUUUUUCAGACUUUGAGAUAGAAGAGUGGACCACCACCAGCUUUGAAGAGCUGUUUCUGGCAGAUGACUGGAAGGACAUUGCAGAUGAGCGUCUGAUAAGGAAGAAGGUGUUACAGGCCAGUCCCGAGAAUGCCCUGACCCCGGCUUGGGGUCAGGAAGUCACACUGAAAAUGCAGGGUGUGCUGGAGGAUAGGACUGUGGUGGAGAAAGACUGCAAGUUGGUCUUCGUUAUCGGAGAGGGAGAUGUCAACCAGGCCCUGGAAGAGUGCACCAUUUCGAUGAAGCAAGGGGAGAUCGCAUUACUGCUUGCAGAUUCACAAUACACCUAUGGACAUCUGGGAAGGUAAGAAGGAAAAUAUACCUGUAUUAUUUAUCGAAUAACAUACACACUGACUGAGUUUUGGGCUUAAAUGCAAGCAGGUUUGGUGAAUUUAUGUUCUUUCACAUUCUGUUAUAAGUUAGAAAUUUAUAAGAAAUAAUUUUAGAAAGUUAUAAGGAAGUAAGGGAGGGUGGAGGACACUGCUGAACGGGUCUCUUGUGACAUCAAUUUAAAAAAGUCAAGUGGCUUCUAUCCUCACAGGGUGGGACAGAGUCAUUUUAUACCUGUUGCUCUCAGGGAAAAUGGCCUGUCCCCAGUAGCUUGUUAAAUGAACCAUGAACAGGAGCAGAUGGCCUUCCCAAAAUACCAUUGAGGGCAUUCAGGAACCCCUUCCCUCCCCUAUCCUCUCAAUUCGUUAACUACAGGCAAUACUUUUGUUUAACCACUUGCUUCAAUCAUUUAUUUAUACCAUGAAGGUGAAAAUUCAAUAAAAUGUAAGUUCAGUACUUACAUUGUUGAUGUGUAUAUUUUCAGAAGUAAAAAGACAAAACCAGUGUUGUCUGAAUCAGCACAUUCUCAGGAAUGUGUGACAUGCAUCAGAUGGUGGCAGAAUUGAUUCAUUAUCAGGCAACCCCCUCACAUAUGGUGAU
ensembl:lncRNA uncharacterized LOC107551462